rnacentral:rRNA from 1 species
GCAGUGGGGAAUAUUGCACAAUGGGGGAAACCCUGAUGCAGCGACGCCGCGUGAGCGAUGAAGUAUUUCGGUAUGUAAAGCUCUAUCAGCAGGGAAGAAAAUGACGGUACCUGACUAAGAAGCCCCGGCUAACUACGUGCCAGCAGCCGCGGUAAUACGUAGGGGGCAAGCGUUAUCCGGAUUUACUGGGUGUAAAGGGAGCGUAGACGGCUGUGCAAGCCAGAUGUGAAAGCCCGGGGCUCAACCCCGGGACUGCAUUUGGAACUGUGUGGCUGGAGUGUCGGAGAGGCAGGCGGAAUUCCUAGUGUAGCGGUGAAAUGCGUAGAUAUUAGGAGGAACACCAGUGGCGAAGGCGGCCUGCUGGACGAUGACUGACGUUGAGGCUCGAAAGCGUGGGGAGCAAACAGGAUUAGAUACCCUGGUAGUCCACGCCGUAAACGAUGACUACUAGGUGUCGGGUGGCAAAGCCAUUCG